rnacentral:lncRNA from 1 species
AUGUUAGCACAAGCCAAAGCGGCGACGAGAGCUACGAUGAAUUUCAUUAUGUGUUCUUUACUCUGCUUUCUUGACUUAAUAGUGAAAGAAGGUGAAAGGGCAAUUGGUCAUUUUCUGCAUAAGGAGAAAUUCGGAUGCAAGGAGCCGAUCAUAUGUGCUCAGCCUGCCCCUUGCGUCGUCGAGAAGCCUGUCCCAGUCCCUGUCCUGGUGAAAUCACCACCAAAAAUCAUCGAAAAGCCUAUCAAAGUCCCCGUGGCCGUACCAGUGCCCGUGCCUUGUGAAAAACCCUGCGAAACACCCUGUGAAACGCCCUGUUACUCCACCCCAGUUGAGUCUUGUUGCUCAACUCCAGUUGAGCCCAGUUGCUCCUACUCCUACUCAACACCCGUGACUUACGGCUCUCCCUGCUCGUACUCAUCACCGGUGAUUUACUAUUAAAUAUUUCCAACUAAAAAAACCAUCACAUCACAAAGAAAUAUUGAAUCUGAUUAAAAAUAAAUGUCUUUCUUCACACUGCAAAUAUCUUUGUUUUUGUUGUUCGGUUGUGGUUACUCCUAUCCAUCUCCUGUGAUUUUGAGCGCUCUCUGGUUGUACUCAUCAGUAGUCACCCACAGCUCUUCGUGUUCCUCUACACCGGUCGAGUCUUCGUGUUAAUCAACCUAUUACUGCCAAAAAUGAUAGUGAUUUUCACAAAAAUUGAAACUAAUAAAAAUGAAUGUCUUUAUAAAAAUGAAAAUAAGUUGGUCAUCCUUUAACGCCUAUUAACAUUCACU